rnacentral:rRNA from 1 species
GACGAACGCUGGCGGCGUGCUUAACACAUGCAAGUCGAACGGAAAGGCCCUGCUUUUGUGGGGUGCUCGAGUGGCGAACGGGUGAGUAACACGUGAGUAACCUGCCCUUGACUUUGGGAUAACUUCACGAAACUGGGGCUACUACCGGAUAGGAGCUCCUGCUGCAUGGUGGGGGUUGGAAAGUUUCGGCGGUUGGGGAUGGACUAGCGGCUUAUCAGCUUGUUGGUGGGGUAGUGGCUUACCAAGGCUUUGACGGGUAGCCGGCCUGAGAGGGUGACCGGCCACAUGGGGACUGAGAGACGGCGCAGACGCCUACGGGAGGCAGCAGUGGGGAAUAUUGCACAAUGGGCGGAAGCCUGAUGCAGCAACGCCGCGUGCGGGAUGACGGCCUUCGGGUUGUGAACCGCUUUCGCCUGUGACGAAGCGUGAGUGACGGUAAUGGGUAAAGAAGCACCGGCUAACUACGUG